rnacentral:rRNA from 1 species
UGCCUUAGUAACUGCGAGUGAAGCGGCAAAAGCUCAAAUUUGAAAUCGGCGUCCUUUGCGGGCAUCGAGUUGUAAUUUGGAGGGAUAACUUCGGUACAGACUACAUCGUAAGUUCCUUGGAACAGGACGUCAUAGAGGGUGAGAAUCCCGUGUCUUGGUGUUUGGCUGUGCCAUGUGAAGUGUCUCCGACGAGUCGAGUUGUUUGGGAAUGCAGCUCAAAAUGGGUGGUAAAUUUCAUCUAAAGCUAAAUAUUGGCGAGAGACCGAUAGCGCACAAGUAGAGUGAUCGAAAGAUGAAAAGCACUUUGAAAAGAGAGUUAAAAAGUACGUGAAAUUGUUGAAAGGGAAGCGCUUGCGACCAGACUCGAUCUUUGGUGAUCAGCCGGGCUUCGGUCCGGUGCCCUUACCAUUGAUUGGGCCAGCAUCGGUUCCGACGGCGGGAUAAAAGGAGGAGGAAUGUGGCUCCCUUCGGGGAGUGUUAUAGCCUUCUUCACAAUGCCGCCAGUUGGGACCGAGGACCGCGCUUCGGCUAGGAUGCUGGCGUAAUGGUCUUAAGCGACCCGUCUUGAAACACGGACCAAGGAGUCUAACAUCUAUGCGAGUGUUCGGGUGGAAAACCCUUGCGCGUAAUGAAAGUGAACGGAGGUGUGAACCCUUUACCGGGUGCAACAUCGACCGGUCCUGAUGUCUUCGGAAGGAUCUGAGUAAGAGCAUAGCUGUUGGGACCCGAAAGAUGGUGAACUAUGCCUGAAUAGGGUGAAGCCAGAGGAAACUCUGGUGGAGGCUCGCAGCGGUUCUGACGUGCAA